rnacentral:tRNA from 1 species
UGCGGAGUAGCUCAGGUGGACCAGAGCGCUGGCCUCAUAAGCCAGAAGUCGCGAGUUCGAAUUUCGCCUCCGCAA